UACGUAGGUGGCAAGCGUUUGUCCGGAAUUAUUGGGCGUAAAGCGCGCGCAGGUGGUUUCUUAAGUCUGAUGUAAAAGCCCACGGCUCAACCGUGGAGGGUCAUUGGAAACUGGGGAACUUGAGUGCAGAAGAGGAAAGUGGAAUUCCAAGUGUAGCGGUGAAAUGCGUAGAGAUUUGGAGGAACACCAGUGGCGAAGGCGACUUUCUGGUCUGUAACUGACACUGAGGCGCGAAAGCGUGGGGAGCGAACAGG
rnacentral:rRNA from 1 species